UAUGACGGCCAUAGCGACGGGGCAACUCCUGGUCCCAUCUCGAACCCAGAAGAUAAGCCCGUCCACGUUCUAUGUGGUACUGAGGUGCGCGAGCCCUCGGGAACCAUAGAUCGCCGUCAGGC
rnacentral:rRNA from 15 species